rnacentral:rRNA from 1 species
UACGGGGGGGGCAAGCGUUGUUCGGAAUUACUGGGCGUAAAGGGCGCGUAGGCGGCCCUCUAAGUCAGACGUGAAAUCCCUCGGCUCAACCGGGGAACUGCGUCUGAUACUGGAGGGCUUGAAUCCGGGAGAGGGAUGUGGAAUUCCAGGUGUAGCGGUGAAAUGCGUAGAUAUCUGCAGGAACACCCGUGGCGAAAGCGGCGCGCUGGACCACUACUGACGCUGAGGAACGAAAGCUAGGGGAGCAAACAGG